rnacentral:Y_RNA from 1 species
GGUUAGUCCAAGUGCAGUGGUGUUUACAACUAAUUGAUCACAACCAGUUACAGAUUCCUUUGUUCCUUCUCCACUCUCACUGCUUCAUGUGACUGGCCUUGA